GAUGAACGCUGGCGGCGUGCCUAAUACAUGCAAGUCGAGCGAACGGACGAGAAGCUUGCUUCUCUGAUGUUAGCGGCAGACGGGUGAGUAACACGUGGAUAACCUACCUAUAAGACUGGGAUAACUUCGGGAAACCGGAGCUAAUACCGGAUAAUAUUUUGAACCGCAUGGUUCAAAAGUGAAAGACGGUCUUGCUGUCACUUAUAGAUGGAUCCGCGCUGCAUUAGCUAGUUGGUAAGGUAACGGCUUACCAAGGCAACGAUGCAUAGCCGACCUGAGAGGGUGAUCGGCCACACUGGAACGGAGACACGGUCCAGACUCCUACGGGAGGCAGCAGUAGGGAAUCUUCCGCAAUGGGCGAAAGCCUGACGGAGCAACGCCGCGUGAGUGAUGAAGGUCUUCGGAUCGUAAAACUCUGUUAUUAGGGAAGAACAUAUGUGUAAGUAACUGUGCACAUCUUGACGGUACCUAAUCAGAAAGCCACGGCUAACUACGUG
rnacentral:rRNA from 1 species